GUUCUUUUAACUUUGAUAUAGCAUUUCUGCUGAAUUUCACCAUUCUUGGGAAUGUGGAAAAUAGUGAAUGCCACUUUUGUUUUUUAGUAGUUUGUGUGUACCUUGUUAUAGUAAAACGCUCUAUGAACAAGGUUUUGUUGUUUAAAAUUUGAUAUAGCAUUUCUGCUGAAUUUCACCAGUUUGUAUUAUUACUGGCUCCAUUUUAAUAAUUUAAUAAUCAAAAUAUUUUAUGAUAGCAUUUUUCGAUUGUGAAUUUUUAAUUUUAUGCAGUGCAGUGUAGAGCGGAAAAUGCAAUUUUUUUAAUGAAGCAUCCGUUUAAUGCAUAAUUGUCAUCAUUUAUUUGAUCCUGUGUAUUUAAUAUUUAUAAAUGAUAUUAUGUCUUAUUGAAAUCUGUAAUAAUAUAUAUAUAGUUCCCUGUAUGAAUUUUUUAUAGAUUAAAAUGAAAUGUUUUGUUACAUUUGGGAAUAUUUCAUAGACCACCAUGUUUUUGUCUGUUUAAAUUAAUUGUAUACAUUUUGAACAAUAUUAACAUUAGUAUUAAAUGAGCGUCUAGCAAUAGCCAAAAGUAUGUAUCGGGAUAAACUUGUAUUUGGGUUCAUUUCCAUUCAAGUAGAACAAGUAGAAUGCAUUUUUUAAGGUGUUUAUUAUUAGUAUAUACCGUAGGACUUUAAGAUAAUAUGAUUUUCAAUAAUGUAGUUGUAUUUUGCUUUUGUUUGUUAUUGCUAAAUAAAAAUUAGAGUUUGAUAUAGAUAAUUCUGGGACAAUGCUACAUAUAUAUGCCUAACAGAAUGUGUCCUGCAUUUAGAAAGUGACUUCAUAUAAACAUACUUGAGCUGUGAUUUGGAAAAAUAUGGAUUCAAUACAUGUGCGUAUAGGAUUGUCCCAGAUGAGUCUUAUGAAGUCUACAAGCGCUAAUAAGGGACGACAGUUUCUCUUGCUUUUAUUAAAUUUCAAUCUUCAGAAGUAAAUUAGGGGCCAUUAGUUAUAGGCCAAUAUUUAUGCAUCUAAAACUUGAGAAUAAGCAGCAACAGUUUAUGUUCUUUGAUCUAUUACUUAUGAUUGGAUUGAGAUAAUGUGCUGAAGAUUUGUGGAAGUGUAUACCCAGCGUACAUACCCUACCUGGAUUCCAUUUCAAGCCAGUUGGGUUAAAGUCUAUGUCACUAUUAUUAAAAUUAGACAAACUUCACUCAGUUACACCGCUUUUAUAUUAGGGUAUUGUUCCUAAAUUGUAUGAAUUGUUAGCUCACCGCUUUUAUAUUAGGGUAUUGUUCCUAAAUUGUAUGAAUUGUUAGCUCACCGCUUUUAUAUUAGGGUAUUGUUCCUAAAUUGUAUGAAUUGUUAGCUCACCGCUUUAAUAUUAGGGUAUUGUUCCUAAAUUGUAUGAAUUGUUAGCUCACCGCUUUAAUAUUAGGGUAUUGUUCCUAAAUUGUAUGAAUUGUUAGCUCACCGCUUUUAUAUUAGGGUAUUGUUCCUAAAUUGUAUGAAUUGUUAGCUCACCGCUUUUAUAUUAGGGUAUUGUUCCUAAAUUGUAUGAAUUGUUAGCUCACCGCUUUAAAGGGAUCUUUUCACGCUUUGGUAAAUUGACAAAAUUGAAAAACAAUGUUUAAGAUUCGCAAAUUUUCGUUUUGGUUAUGAAAUUUGUGAGGAAACAGUAAUACUGAACAUUUACCAUGCUCUAAUAUAGCCAUUAUAUGCAUCUUUUGACGAUUUUAAAACCUAAAAAUUAUAAAGCGUUGCAACGCGAAACGAUUGAAUAAUUUGGAGUGUUCUGUUUUUUUCGUUAAAUUUUGUGAAACUACGAAGAUUGCUUAUAUAAGGUAUAAAAUACGCUUAGUAUGUGUAGUCGGCGGAAUAGCUCAGUAGGCUGAAGCGUUUUUACUUCAGGACUCUGGCAGGACUCCAGGGGUCACUGGUUCGAAACCUGCUCCGGGCAAUGUUCUUUUCCUUUUUUAUAUUUUAUUCUUGAUAUUUUACUGGAGCUUUUACGAUCCAAUGUUCACAUUUAUCAAUAUAAAGCAUUUAAUGAAUAAGUUAAAAAAUGCCAAAAUCUGUGAAAAGGCCCCUUUAAUAUUAGGGUAUUGUUCCUAAAUUGUAUGAAUUGUUAGCUCACCGCUUUUAUAUUAGGGUAUUGUUCCUAAAUUGUAUGAAUUGUUAGCUCACCGCUUUUAUAUAAGGGUAUUGUUCCUAAAUUGUAUGAAUUGUUAGCUCACCGCUUUUAUAUGAGGGUAUUGUUCCUAAAUUGUAUGAAUUGUUAGCUCACCGCUUUUAUAUUAGGGUAUUGUUCCUAAAUUGUAUGAAUUGUUAGCUCACCACUUUUAUAUUAGGGUAUUGUUUCUGAAUUGUAUGAAUUGUUAGCUCACCACUUUUAUAUUAGGGUAUUGUUUCUGAAUUGUAUGAAUUGUUAGCUCACCGCUUUUAUAUUAGGGUAUUGUUUCUGAAUUGUAUGAAUUGUUAGCUCACCACUUUUAUAUUAGGGUAUUGUUUCUGAAUUGUAUGAAUUGUUAGCUCACCACUUUUAUAUUAGGGUAUUGUUUCUGAAUUGUAUGAAUUGUUAGCUCACCGCUUUUAUAUUAGGGUAUUGUUUCUGAAUUGUAUGAAUUGUUAGCUCACCGCUUUUAUAUGAGGGUAUUGUUGCUAAAUUGUAUGAAUUGUUAGCUCACCGCUUUUAUAUUAGGGUAUUGUUCCUAAAUUGUAUGAAUUGUUAGCUCACCGCUUUUAUAUUAGGGUAUUGUUCCUAAAUUGUAUGAAUUGUUAGCUCACCGCUUUUAUAUGAGGGUAUUGUUCCUAAAUUGUAUGAAUUGUUAGCUACCGCUUUUAUAUUAGGGUAUUGUUCCUAAAUUGUAUGAAUUGUUAGCUCACCGCUUUUAUAUUAGGGUAUUGUUCCUAAAUUGUAUGAAUUGUUAGCUCACCGCUUUUAUAUUAGGGUAUUGUUCCUAAAUUGUAUGAAUUGUUAGCUUACGUGUAGACCUAGCUUGGGAAAACUAGAUAAAAGUCAAAGUCGCUGUAAGUUAAUUAAAUAAUUCCGCUUACAUAACUUAAAUUGUAUGAAGAAUUUCCGCUGUUUUUUGUAGGUGUAGGUAGGUUCCACGCAGUCUUAGAUGAUGUAAGCGUGUAUUUCAAUCCCUCUGACACCUUACAUGUAAAACAGAAUUAGUUUGCAUUAUAUUUAAUUGAGUCUUAUAAUGUCAGCAUAUUGUUCCUAAUGUUUGUAAGGACAGUUUAAAUUGCAAAAUAUUGUUACUUGUCUUUUAUUCAGUAUACAUGUUUUCCUUAUACGUAUUUCUUAUUGCAUUUGAUUAAUGUUGUAUUGAUGCGGAAGAUCAAAUGUUCAUUAUACUGUCUUGAACAAGUUUAGGUUACAGCUAAUUUCAUAAAACAAAAUUGCCACAUAUUUAUGCAUAGUUUAUUAUGUAACAUGAAACUUUUCUAUGUGUCAUAAAAUACAACAGUGUACAAAACCAAUUUGCCAAAACACUUUUUAAUUUUAAUGUCUAAAUCUUGUAAUAUAUAAAUGUGUGUCUUUUGUGACACUAUAUUAUGUUGGCAAUGUAUGCUUAUUCGUUUCUAUUAAACACAAAUGUUAUUAUUCAUUUAAAUAAAGACUAAUAAUAAAUAAUGUAAACAA